CCAUGGUGUACAGCAAGUAGGAGGAUGGAUAAGCAAAACAGGACAUGUCCUGCCCUUCGCCAUCUGUUAUGGGCUGAAGUGUGCCUCUGCAAAAUUUGUGUGCUGAAGUCCUAACCCCCUCACCUCAGAAUGUGACUAUAUUUGGUGACAGGUCCUUUGAAGAGGACACUGAGGUCAAGUGAGGUCAUAGAAGUGGAUCCUAAUCCACUGUGACUGUCCUCAUAGAAGAGGCUGUUAGUGAUACAGGGGCUUUGACAGAACAAUUGGCUCCAAAGAAGGUGCUGGCUGUUGUCACUUUCAUGGAGUCAUCACACUGUGGAGUCCUGGGCAGGGAGCCUGGGCUACUAAUGCCUAGGCUGGGGAGCUGAGGAUGCGAGCUGUUGUGUUUUGUGUCUGCUGUUCUGGCAGCACAUCUGAAUCUCAGAAAGAAAGUGGAGAUGCUGACCUUCUGGAUCAGCUUCCUGGAUUGCUCUCUCUCAGCUUCCAUUAAAAUAUCUGCGAAAAUCCAAAUCACUGCGAGGGCAAAAGCCCAGGAUCCUGAACAACAAUUAAUUUCUCAGGGAAAUUACCCUUAACAUGGGACAGAUGGGGUGAUCAAGAAGGAGUGCCUCUUUCCUGCAUAGAAAAGAAGAGACAAAGGCUCUGCCUCCGGGCCUUGGGCUGGCUCCACCCAAAUUGGAAAGCCUCACAGUCCCCUUCUGACUGCCCGAGGAUGCUCACCCAGCACUCCAGUCCUCCUGGAUCUACCUGUGUGAUGGUAACUUCAGCAAAGCACAAUGGGCCAUGGUAGAAUGUGGUAGGUGAUUGCAGAGUAAAUCCUGGAUUGUAAAUGAUAUAGGUGAAAGUAGCUUUUAAAAAAUGAUUAUCUUGGGGCCGGGGAUUUAGCUCAGUGGUUUUGCCGCCUGCUGCACAAGCGCAAGGACCCAAGUUCGAGCCCCAGUACAAAAAAAUAAAUAAAUAAAUAAAUGAUUAUCUAAUGUGUAACUUUAAAAAAAUGAUUAUCUAAUGUGUAAUAAGCCAAUCCAAAACUUAGUGGUUUGAAACAAUGAUAUUUAUUUGGAUUGAUAUUUAAUCUGCAAUCAGGACAAAGCUCAGCAGGAGAGCUGGACUCUUGUCAGCUAGGGCAGCUGCAAGGUUGAAGGAGAGAAUCAUGUGAGCUCUCAGUCAUAUUUGCAUGUUUGCUCCCUGGGCUAGGAAGAGUCAAACAUCUGCAGCCAGAAGAGCUGUGUUCUUGUGGGCUUUCCAUGUUAUCUCUCCAGCAUGGUGGCCUCGGAGCAGCUGGACUUCAUAGAUAUAUGUGGAAGGCUCCCAGUGCACAUGCCUCAGAGAGGGUGCCAUGCAGCUUCUAUAACCUCUGGAGUCACGCAGGGAUCUUACUAUAGCAUUCUGUUAAUGGAAGCAGCAAGAAAACUCCACCUGGACUCAAGGGGAAAGAACAUAGAACUCUUCCUCUUGGUGAAGGAGGGUCAAGGUCACCUUGUUGGAAGGGCCUAUGGAAUGGGAUAUAUAUUACUAUAUCCGCCUUUUGAAAAUACAAUCUACCAGAUAACUGAGAGCACUAUAUUCUUGGAAUCAGAGUUUCUAUGCACCAUUUCAGACCAUGAAGAAACUAUGGAAUGCUUCAUUGAUUAGUAAUGAAUUCGCCCUAAUUUACAAAGGACUAGUCAAGGAAGUGGGAGAAAUUCAUGCCAUAGUCUAAUAGUGUAAUAGCUCAUAUUACAAAUAGGCACCAGAAGUCAGUCUGGAAAAUAGGCACCAUAAAUUACUCUCGUGUUUGAUGUUUAAGAGGAAAAGUCUUGUAGAUACAGAAUGCACCCAACUUGGAUAGAUAUGUCCUUGUUAAAAAUGAGUGUAUGUAUAUGCAUUGGGGGUGGAGUAAAUAUACACCAAGUUUGUGAAAAAUACUCAGUAACAUAAACCAAGAGGCUCACUAGAUUAAUGAGGUAGGGAAGAAACAUGCUUGUUCCGUAAAAAGUUGAUUGCAUAAGAUAAAAAAAAUUUUAAUUAUGCUUUUUGUGUUCUUGAUCAGUACUAGAUAUUAUGUACGUUCUGAAAUAAGAAGUAAAGCUUUCGACAAAAUAGGUGAUGCUUGAGAUUCUGAGAUUGAAAAAGAAGCCAACAAAUAAGACUUGAGAGCCAGGAAUUUAGUUCAGUCGUUCUGCCUGCCGCCUGCCCUUGCAAGCACAAGGUCCUGAGUUCAAUCCCUGGUACCAAAAAAAAAAAAAUAAAAAAGAAUUGAAUUCAGGUAAACUGAAAAUAAAAUUAUGGAAUUAGAAGCCAGUUUGGAUGCAAUACAAACCAGAAUCAAAAUUUCAGGAAGUUAAAUAAAUACCACAGAAAACAAGUUAGAGGAGUAUAAAAUGAUGAGAGAAGAGACAGGUGAUUUGGAAGAUCAAAAAAUAAACUAGGAGCAUGGGGUUUAGCUCUGUGGUGGAACACUUGCUUAGCUUGUCCAAGGCUCUGGAUUCUAUCCCCAGCAGCACAAACAUUAGUAAAUCUAUAUAGUUCGGAAGGCUCUCGAAGGAAGAUAUCACCAGAACAAAUGCUGUUGUUUCAAUAUGAAGAAAAAUAAUGGAAGAAACAAAUUUGAGCUGAAAAAAGAAUGGACAAUUAAAAAUAUCGCACCAUGUUCUACACAAAAUAAAGAAUACUACACAGAUA
ensembl:lncRNA